CCUACGGGAGGCAGCAGUGGGGAAUAUUGGGCAAUGGGCGCAAGCCUGACCCAGCAACGCCGCGUGAGGGAAGACGGCUCUAUGGGUGUUAACCUCCUUUCUGCGGGACGCAGAAAGUGAAGGUAUCUCCGGAAUAAGCCACGGCUAAAUACGGGCCAGCAGCCCCCGGAAUCCGUAGGGGGCAAGAGUUAGCCGGAUUGAAUGGGGGUAAAGGGCGUGUAGGCGGGAAGGCAAGGCAGCUGUGAAUACUCAGGGGUCAACCCUGAGCCAGCAGUUGAAACUGUUUUUCUUGAGUGCUGGAGAGGCAAGCGGAAUUCGGGGUGUAGCGGUGAAAUGCGUAGAUAUACCGAAGAACACCGGUGGCGAAGGCAGAUUGCUGGAGAGUAACUGACGCUGAGGCGCGAAAGCGUGGGGAGCAAACAGGAUUAGAUACCCGAGUAGUC
rnacentral:rRNA from 1 species